rnacentral:rRNA from 1 species
GACGGAGGAUGCAAGUGUUAUCCGGAAUCACUGGGCGUAAAGCGUCUGUAGGUGGUUUAAAAAGUCCACUGUUAAAAAUUGAAGCUUAACUUCAAAGAUGCCGUGGAAACUUUUAAACUUGAGUAUGAUAGGGGUAGAGGGAAUUUCCAGUGGAGCGGUGAAAUGCGUAGAUAUUGGAAAGACCACCAAUGGCGAAGGCACUCUACUGGACCAUUACUGACACUGAGAGACGAAAGCUAGGGGAGCGAAUGGG